GCAACGACGAAGAACCUUACGUACUCUUGACAUCCAGAGAACUUAGCAGAGAUGCUUUGGUGCCUUCGGGAACUCUGAGACAGGUGCUGCAUGGCUGUCGUCAGCUCGUGUUGUGAAAUGUUGGGUUAAGUCCCGCAACGAGCGCAACCCUUAUCCUUUGUUGCCAGCGAUUCGGUCGGGAACUCAAAGGAGACUGCCGGUGAUAAACCGGAGGAAGGUGGGGAUGACGUCAAGUCAUCAUGGCCCUUACGAGUAGGGCUACACACGUGCUACAAUGGCGUAUACAAAGAGAAGCGACCUCGCGAGAGCAAGCGGAACUCAUAAAGUACGUCGUAGUCCGGAUUGGAGUCUGCAACUCGACUCCAUGAAGUCGGAAUCGCUAGUAAUCGUAGAUCAGAAUGCUACGGUGAAUACGUUCCCGGGCCUUGUACACACCGCCCGUCACACCAUGGGAGUGGGUUGCAAAAGAAGUAGGUAGCUUAACCUCGGGAGGGCGCUACCACUUCGAUCAGUUCGGG
rnacentral:rRNA from 1 species